AAAAAAAAAAAAAAAAAAAACAAGUACAGAGCAGUGUGUAUAUUUUGCUUCAUCUUAGCAGCAUAUUAAAAAGUGGAAGGAUAAACCAAAACUCAUAAAAAUGCUUAAUAUAGGGGGAGGGAGAAUAAGGAUAAAAGCGAUAGGUAUAAGUGCUAGAUUUCUUUGGCUAUAACUUGUCUUAUAGAUUUGACUUUGAAACAAUAUAAAUGUUUUUCUUAAAUAUAAAAUAAAAUUAGAUGAGAUAUUAAUGGGUAUAAAAAUACCAUUAGAAAGAAGAAGAUCUAGUGUUCAGAGGCACAAUAGGGUAACUAUAGUUAACAACAAUUCAUUGUAUAUUUUAAAACACAUAAGAAAAGUAGAACUCGGAUGUUCCUAACACAAAGAAAUGAUAAAUGGUUGAGGUGAUGGAUAUCCCAAUUACCCUAAUAUGAUCAUUACAUAUUGUACGCUUGUAUCAGAAUAUCACAUGUACCCUGUAAAUAUAUACAACUAUCAGGUUUCCAUUAUAAUUAAAAAUUAAGAAUAAUAAAUUAAAAAUCAAUCUCUUCAAGUCUAAAACAAAAUGAAACAUAAAGAAAUUGUGUCUUAAUACAGAAGGAGCAGGAUUAAAAAAAUUGUGUUUUAAGUUGAUGAUUGAAUGAUACAGAAAUAAAUUAUUACAAUUGAAUUUAAAGCACAAAAAUUUAAUAUAUGUCCCU
rnacentral:lncRNA from 1 species